GAUGAACGCUGGCGGCGUGCCUAAUACAUGCAAGUCGAGCGAACAGACGAGGAGCUUGCUCCUCUGACGUUAGCGGCGGACGGGUGAGUAACACGUGGAUAACCUACCUAUAAGACUGGGAUAACUUCGGGAAACCGGAGCUAAUACCGGAUAAUAUAUUGAACCGCAUGGUUCAAUAGUGAAAGACGGUUUUGCUGUCACUUAUAGAUGGAUCCGCGCCGCAUUAGCUAGUUGGUAAGGUAACGGCUUACCAAGGCGACGAUGCGUAGCCGACCUGAGAGGGUGAUCGGCCACACUGGAACUGAGACACGGUCCAGACUCCUACGGGAGGCAGCAGUAGGGAAUCUUCCGCAAUGGGCGAAAGCCUGACGGAGCAACGCCGCGUGAGUGAUGAAGGUCUUCGGAUCGUAAAACUCUGUUAUUAGGGAAGAACAAAUGUGUAAGUAACUAUGCACGUCUGGACGGUACCUAAGCAGAAAGCCACGGCUAACUACGG
rnacentral:rRNA from 1 species